GUGCUCAGUUCAGCAGCACAUAUACUAAAAUUGGAACAAUACAGAGAUUAGCAUGGCCCCUGUGCAAGGAUGACACACAAAUUCAUGAAGUGUUCCAUAUUCUU
ensembl:snRNA U6 U6 spliceosomal RNA